AGCAGCCGCGGUAAUUCCAGCUCCAAUAGCGUAUAUUAAAGUUGUUGCAGUUAAAAAGCUCGUAGUUGAAUUUUGGAUUCUUCCAAUUGGUCCAUCUUUUAGAUGAGUACUGGUUGUGUGGGGUCUAUCCGCCUGGUGAUACGUAAUGUCCUUUAUUGGAUGUUGCGGGUAGUCAGGACCUUUACCUUGAAAAAAUUAGAGUGUUUAAAGCAGGCUUAUGCCGGAAUACAUUAGCAUGGAAUAAUAGAAUAGGACGAAGUUGUUUUAUUUUGUUGGUUUCUAGGACAACCGUAAUGAUUAAUAGGGAUAGUUGGGGGCAUUAGUAUUCAAUUGUCAGAGGUGAAAUUCUUGGAUUUAUUGAAGACUAACUACUGCGAAAGCAUUUGCCAAGGAUGUUUUCAUUAAUCAAGAACGAAAGUUAGGGGAUCGAAGACGAUCAGAUACCGUCGUAGUCUUAACCAUAAACUAUGCCGACUAGGGAUCGGGCGAUGUUGUUUCCAUGACUCGCUCGGCACCUCAU
rnacentral:misc_RNA from 2 species